GUUAGUGCAGCAGUGGGGGAAGGAGGGGGUGGGGGAGGUGGGGGGGGGCUGCUGUUAGGCAGAUCCAGGAGGGCAGAGGUGUCAAAGCAGUUUUACAGCUUUCUGGUGCUGAUAUGUGCCGGAGCCAGGGGACUUUCUGAUGGACGUAUGGGAGCAACACAUACAGACUGUUUGAAAGGGUCAUCUGCGUAUUUCACAGCAGCGGCCCGUGGGGGCAGCCCGUUGGCAGUGGAGGGACCCAGGCCCUUCUGGCUGUUCCAGAGGACCCACCAGGACAGGGUUUCAGAGGAACACAAGAGCAGCUAAGCCCCUCGCUCAUGUCAGGGGAGCUGGGGGCAAGGACUUUCAGAGCUGGGUGUUUUGGGGCAAGGAAAAUUGCGGUUUGGCUUUUUGACAGUAAGGAGGUUUGGAAGUAAGGGCAUCACGAGGGAGCCUGGAGAUGGAAGCACUCAGGGCCGAGGGCACUUGCGAGCAAGGGCUGCUGGACGCACGGCACAGCCCCUCGGCGAUGGCACUCGAGGCUGAGGUUCUUUGGUGGUGAAAGCAUACAGGGCUAAGAGGGGAUGAGAGCGAAGAUAGAAAUAAUUUUGCUGUGGAUCCAAAUGGUGGCAUCGUGCUGUACUGACUUCGUCUCUUGUCUUCAUUCCACUAGCUUUUCACAAGGACGUGCUUUGGAGGCAUGACUUUACAAAGAAAAGAAAAUGCAACACUUCAUCUGAUACCAGUUCUGUUGCGUGAGUCCAACUGAGGGAUUGCUCAAGGGUACCUUUGUACCACGUCAAACUUCAGGAUUUUUACUACUCCAGCACAGUGGACUGUGACAGAGAUACAGGUAAUAUUAAUCACCAUGGAAUCAUAGAAUGGCCUGGGUUGAAAAGGACCACAAUGCUCAUUCAGUUUCAACCCCCUGCUGUGUGCAGGGUCACCAACCAGCAGACCAGGCUGCCCAGAGCCACAUCCAGCCUGGCCUUGAAUGCCUCCAGGGAUGGGGCAUCCACAGCCUCCUUGGGCAACCUGUUCAGUGCGUCACCACCCUCUGUGUGAAAAACUUCUUCCUAAUAUCCAACCUAAACCUCCCUUGUCUCAGUUUAAAACCAUUCCCCCUUAUGCUAUCACUAUCCACCUUCGUAAACAACCGAUGCCCCUCCUGUUUGUAUGCUCCCUUCAAGUACUGGAAGGCCAAAUAAAGGAAAUAUCCACAUUUUCCUCAGUUCUUCUCACUGGAGAAUUGAGAAUCUGUUUAUGCUGG
ensembl:lncRNA